rnacentral:rRNA from 1 species
AACGUAGGACACAAGCGUUAUCCGGAGUUACUGGGCGUAAAGGGCGCGUAGGCGGCUUUUCAAGUCGGGCGUGAAAUCUCCAGGCUUAACCUGGAAGGGUCGUUCGAUACUGUUAAGCUAGAGUGUGGAAGAGGCUACUGGAAUUCCGGGUGUAGCGGUGGAAUGCGUAGAGAUCCGGAAGAACACCGGUGGCGAAGGCGGCCCGCUGGGCAGUGACUGACGCUGAGGCGCGACAGCGUGGGGAGCAAACGAGG